CCUCCCGCCCGGCUCUGGAAGGGGGAAAGGGGUUUAAACUUACCUUUUUCCAGCGCUGGGCGGGGAGCUCUCCUCCUCCGAUCCUCCUCCUGGGCUGAAUGCACACGCGCGGCAAGAGCUGCGCGCGCAUUCAGCCCGUCGCAUAGGAAAGCAUUUACAAUGCUUUCCUAUGGACGCUUGCGUGCUCUCACUGUGAAAAUCACAGUGAG